rnacentral:rRNA from 1 species
AGAGUUGAUUCUGGCUCAGGAUUAACGCUGGCGGCGUGCCUAAUACAUGCAAGUCGAAUGGUAGCAAUACCAUGGCGAACGGGUGAGUAACACGUAGGUAACCUGUCUUUAAGCCGAGGAUAACCAUUGGAAACGAUGGAUAAUACUGGAUAGGAUAUUUUAAGGCAUCUUUUAAUAUUUAAAGAUUUAUCACUUAGAGAGGGGCCUGCGGCGCAUUAGCUAGUUGGUGAGGUGAAGGCUUACCAAGGCGAUGAUGCGUAGCCGGACUGAGAGGUUGAACGGCCACAAUGGAACUGAGAACGGUCCAUACUCCUACGGGAGGCAGCAGUAGGGAAUUUUCGGCAAUGGGCGGAAGCCUGACCGAGCAACGCCGCGUGAACGAAGAAGUAUUUCGGUAUGUAAAGUUCUUUUAUUAGGGACGAAAAGACAGAUUGACGGUACCUAAUGAAUAAGCUCCGGCUAACUACGUGCCAGCCGCUGC